CCACUUCGGUGGGGAUUAGUGGCGAACGGGUGAGUAACACGUGGGCAAUCUGCCCUGCACUCUGGGACAAGCCCUGGAAACGGGGUCUAAUACCGGAUACUGACCAUCUUGGGCAUCCAAGGUGUUCGAAAGCUCCGGCGGUGCAGGAUGAGCCCGCGGCCUAUCAGCUUGUUGGUGAGGUAAUGGCUCACCAAGGCGACGACGGGUAGCCGGCCUGAGAGGGCGACCGGCCACACUGGGACUGACACACGGCCCAGACUCCUACGGGAGGCAGCAGUGGGGAAUAUUGCACAAUGGGCGAAAGCCUGAUGCAGCGACGCCGCGUGAGGGAUGACGGCCUUCGGGUUGUAAACCUCUUUCAGCAGGGAAGAAGCGAAAGUGACGGUACCUGCAGAAGAAGCGCCGGCUAACUACGUGCCAGCAGCCGCGGUAAUACGUAGGGCGCGAGCGUUGUCCGGAAUUAUUGGGCGUAAAGAGCUCGUAGGCGGCUUGUCACGUCGGUUGUGAAAGCCCGGGGCUUAACCCCGGGUCUGCAGUCGAUACGGGCAGGCUAGAGUUCGGUAGGGGAGAUCGGAAUUCCUGGUGUAGCGGUGAAAUGCGCAGAUAUCAGGAGGAACACCGGUGGCGAAGGCGGAUCUCUGGGCCGAUACUGACGCUGAGGAGCGAAAGCGUGGGGAGCGAACAGGAUUAGAUACCCUGGUAGU
rnacentral:rRNA from 1 species